rnacentral:rRNA from 1 species
UACGUAGGGUGCGAGCGUUGUCCAGAAUUAUUGGGCGUAAAGAGCUUGUAGGCGGUUUGUCGCGUCUGCUGUGAAAAUCCGGGGCUCAACCCCGGACUUGCAGUGGGUACGGGCAGACUAGAGUGUGGUAGGGGAGGCUGGAAUUCCUGGUGUAGCGGUGGAAUGCGCAGAUAUCAGGAGGAACACCGAUGGCGAAGGCAGGUCUCUGGGCCACUACUGACGCUGAGAAGCGAAAGCAUGGGGAGCGAACAGG